rnacentral:lncRNA from 1 species
CAUAAAAUUUUAAAUUCAAGUUUGUAACUUUAUAUUUAAAUUUAAAUUUUUAAAAUUUUAUUUUUAUUUAAAUUUGAAUUUUAAAAUUUAAAUUUAAAUAUUAAAUUUAAAGUUUAAUCAAAUUAACUUUACCUAAGAACUUCAAUUUGAACUUGAUAUCAAAGUGGUCCUAUUAUAAAUUCAAAUUAUCGACUACAAUUUGAAUUUAAAAUUUAAAUUUUUAAGUUCAAAUUCAAAUUCAAAUUAAAUUUUUUAUUUACACUUAAUUUUAAUAAU